GCAGGAAAUCAGAUGCGUAGAGGCCAGUGGGUGUCACUGUUUCGCCACAGAAGUGUUGUUUUGGACCAUGACUCUUGGAUUUCGUAUUUUGCCGCUAUUUGAUUGCGUCCCUUCUCCUGUGAAGAUGAUUUUGACCUGCUGCUCCUUAAACCGGCUGCAGAUCAAUGCUGUAAUUAAAUUACAGACCCGUGUUUCCACUGAAUGUCUUUCCUGUCAGGAUAAACUUCACGCCAUCAGACACAUUGUCAUCAGUAAAUCCUCUACAGAGUACAGAUGAGAGAGAAUCACUCUGCAGCAACAUUGUGCUGGGGAAGACUGUUGAGGCUGUGGGUGCUGAAUGUCCUCCUGCGUGAAAUAAUGAUGAUCACACUGCCUCCUCAGGCCUCAGUUCUGUUAGGAGUGGGAGAGAAAAAACAAGACACUUGGUGUGGGCUGAUGUCCUCUGUUUCCCCUGGGUCCUGUUUUGUGAGUGAUAAGUGAAGCAGAAGCCUGGAUUCUCUCAUGGACCACCACCAACCAGGAGUUCUAUGCUGUGCCAUUAAUAGACUGCUAAUAUGAGCGUGGUCUUCUCUGCAGAGGAAGAGGUCUCUCACCCAUGGAUGUAAAUAAUUUGGGUUCUGCUUUCAUGCUUAUUAACACUUGUUGGUAUUUGGCUUGGUUUCUACUGAGAGAUUAUUUACCCUCUGAGGGAUCCGUUGGGACUCCUUGUCAGAUCAGUUCUUGGGUGGAGCUUGCAGCAACUUGGGACAGUCUGUCUGUACAAGACUGGCAAUAAAUAAUUCUCUCGAGCGCUGUGGAGAGAUGGAAACUGCAGCUGAGAAAUGAUUUUGGGGAAAGGAAGACAGAAAAGCACAAGCAAACUAUUAUGGAAGUACAAAUAGCCCUCUAAAGGAUCAGCAAAUGUGCCAGCUAUGGAGUCUGGCUGUAGUCCCAGCAAGGGAGAUUUCUCUUCAGAGAAAACCUGUUAACCAUUUGGAGGGAGUACAUGUGAAAAAGACGGAGUUAUUACAAAAAACUCUGCUUCAGGUUUAGUCUCCCGGUGGGGAACAUCUUUGGUGAUCUGCAAGACCAUCUAUGCUGGAAAUGGAUAACUUCACAAAUGGGCAGCCAGGCCCAGGUCAGAGGAACAGGUUGAUGGGAUUGCUAGAAACAGAUGACAGUAUCCAGGAAGAUAAACCUGCAUCUAGUAAAAAGGAAGAAAGAUCAGGACAUGGAAAGAAAGGCGAGCCACGACCCUUGGAGACACCUUAUCAGAAGGAGAGCAGUGACUUUCCUCCUAAAGUCAAGAUUAAUCUGAACUAUUGGCCAGGACUCGUCAGCAACCAAAAGGACCCAAAUCGCUUUGACAGAGACAGGCUCUUCAGUGCAGUCUCAAGGGGCAGCCCUGAGGCACUGGAUGGUUUACUUGAGUACUUGAGGAGGACCUCCAAAUUUCUCACCAACUCCGAAUACACAGAUGCGAAGACUGGGAAGACCUGCUUGAUGAAAGCUCUGUUGAACUUAAAAAAUGGAAAGAAUGACACAAUCCCACUUUUGCUGGAAAUAGACCAAAAGACACAGAAUCCCAGGCCACUUGUCAAUGUGGCGUGCUCUGACUGUUACUACAGAGGCCAGACAGCACUACAUAUUGCCAUAGAGAAAAGGAACCUAGAUUUGGUGAAACUUCUAGUAGAGAAUGGAGCUGAUGUCCAUGCCAGAGCCCAUGGUGAAUUCUUCAAGAAGAAGAAGGAAGGAAUUUACUUUUAUUUUGGUGAACUCCCUCUCUCCUUGGCUGCUUGUACCAACCAGCUCGAGGUGGUGGAAUAUCUUCUAAACAAUCCCCACCAGAAAGCCAGGCUCCAGGAGCAGGAUACGCAGGGCAACACAGUCCUCCAUGCCCUGGUGAUGAUUGCAGAUGACACUGAAGAGAACACCAAGUUUGUGAGCACAACAUACGUUGAGAUCUUGAAGGCAGGUGUGAAGGUUGACCCAACAUGGAAACUGGAGGAGAUAGUGAAUUAUGAUGGAUUAAAUCCUCUGCAGCUCGCUGCCAAGACAGGCAAAGUGGAGAUCUUCAAGCACAUCAUCCAAAGAGAGAUCAAAGACCCAGUGUACAGGCACUUGUCACGCAAGUUCACUGAGUGGACCUACGGACCUAUCCAUGUGUCUCUCUAUGACUUGUCGUCUAUAGACAGCUUUGAGGAAAACUCUGUGCUAGAGAUUCUGGCAUACAGCAGUGACACACCGAAGCGGUACAAGAUGGUGGUUCUGGAGCCACUGAACAAACUGCUUCAGCAAAAAUGGGAAACGUUUGCUUCCAAGAGAUUCUACUUCAGUUUUGUCUCGUACUUGUCAUUCAUGAUCAUCUUUACAGCCAUUGCAUACUAUCAACCCUUACGGGUAAAGCCUUCAUUUCCAAUGGAGUUCACGGCUGGAGGCUUCUUGUGGGUCUCUGGACUGAUCAUUAUCUUGCUAGGAGGCAUUUAUCUAAUCUUUGCUCAGAGUCUGUACUUGCGGAGGAGACGCCAGUCCCUGAAGACUAUGUGUUCUGACAGCUGCAUUGAGAUCUUGAUCUUCAUCCAGGCCUUCUCAUUGUUGCUGUCAGCAGUUCUGUAUGGUGCAAGUUCAGAAAACUACGUGGCGGUGAUGGUGUUCUCCCUGCUUUUGGGAUGGAUGAACAUGCUGUAUUACACUCGGGGCUUUCAACGCACUGGGAUCUACAGUGUCAUGAUACAGAAGACUAUCCUGAGUGAUCUCCUGCGUUUCCUCUUGGUUUAUAUGAUCUUCCUCUUCGGUUUUGCUGCAGCUCUGGUUACGCUGAUGGGGGAUGCUCCUUCGGUCUCUCAGAACAAGUCUCUUGCUCAGCUGGAGAGCGCUGGGACCCAUGCUAUGUACGGUGGGCUGCUUAGCGUCUCCCUGGAGCUCUUCAAGAUCACCAUUGGGAUGGGUGACCUGGAUUUCCAGGAACAUGCCAGAUUCAGAUAUUUCGUCAUGCUCCUGCUGCUUCUCUUUGUGAUCCUCACUUACAUUCUUUUGCUCAACAUGCUGAUUGCGCUCAUGAGCAAGACUGUCACAGAUGUUUCUGAUUAUAGCAAAAGCAUCUGGAAGCUGCAGAGGGCUAUAGCUAUUCUAGAAAUAGAGAAGGCCUGGCUGUGGCGCCAAGGUGGGAAGAGGAGAUCUGGCUGCUUCAUGUCAGUGGGCCUCAAUAAGAAAGAUGAGCGGUGGUGUUUCAGAGUAGAGGAAAUAAAAUGGACAAAUUGGGCAAAGGACGUGGGAGUUCUUAAGGAAGAUCCUGGAAACACCAGUGAUUCAGAAAUAAAUCCAGAAGAGACACGAUCAUGGAAACGGAUGCCACAGAAACAACUGAGACCAGCUGUUUCAGAGGAGCAGUCGCUAUUGCAGCCCCAGCUAUCUGCAACUGAGAUGAUGCCUCUAGAGGGACAAACCCGAAAUCUUUAGCAGGAGAUUGCACUGAAGUGCUUUGGAAUAAAGAGUGUUGUAAGGGCAUAAAAAGUUGUGAAGGAUGGAGUUGGCUUCUGUACAAAACGCUGUCGGUGUGAGACAUGAGUGGACAAAUACUCAGUCUUCAGUCAUCAAGAGCCAUACUGAGUCUUUGCAUCAGUACCUACAGUGCUUGGUGUGUAGCCCACAUCAGAAUUCCCGUUUUACAGUAUUAUAAUGAAGUCAUUUGCACUAUGUGCACAUUUGCUGAAGAUCACAAAAGCGAUAUGGAUUUCCUGGACCUGUAAUUUCACCUGGUGAAUUUCUGAAACAUCUAUCUUUCACAGGUUGCUUUGUGUAGAAAACAUGAGCAGAAUCCUGCAUGUGGCUUCCAAGAGACAGAUGGGCCAAAAUGCUUGUGCAGUUAACAUUUCCUGUCAGUCUUAGUGGUAUCCUGUCUUGCUGUAAAUGGUUACAAGGACCUCAUUGCUUUUUGUAAUGUGCACACUGCCUCAGGCAGGAUACAAAGCAUGGAAAAGAGAUAAAAAUGAGCUGUCUCACUUUCAGCCUAUAUUUAAAAAUAAUAACAUGUAGUAUUUCUGUAUAUGGUCAAUGUAGCAAGUUUACUUAAUUGAAGGUGUUCAUCCUUGGAUGUAUUUUCAGAGCUUCAGAUCCUCUCAAAAAGGAAGAGAAGAUGUGAUCAGUGUGGACUAUAAGGCCUUAUUAAAUUCCUUGAUUACAUUUCACCCAGCACUGUGCUGGCCUCACUGCCAUGCAAGUCAACUCUUGUUUUUCAUGACCUCAUGUCAGUUUAUGCAGCCACAUCUGAAAAUGUAACAGCUGAUGUUGCAUUGGAUGCAUUUUUCAUACAGGGAAUGGCUAGUGAUAACCAUGACAAAGCUGCAGGCUACAAACGUUGGUAACACCUUUCCCUCAGUAAGAUAAACUAUGCAACUCAAGAUCUCCUGUUUCUCCUUUCUGCUCUGAGCAAGUGAAGCUAGGAGGUUUGUCUUUUGGAGACAGUCAUCUUAAUCCUGUUGCUUACUACAUGCACAUGACUGGCAGCAAAAGCGUUGCUUUUAAAACUUAAUUCCCUGUCACUUCAAAUGGGUUCUUCCACCUGUGCUGGGCAGUUCCCUCUGCAGCUUCACUGCACAGGGUCUCUGAAUCGUAGCCUAACUUUUCUCACUCCAGCUUCUGCUGUUUUCUUGCUUUGUGAAGCCUUUGGCUGCUUUUUCCAUCUAUGGCUUUGUCCUAAGUGUUCCCAAGAUUUGGCAAGGUGCUCGUAUUGCACAAAAGAAUCAUCUGGCAUAUAGUAAUCUAUUGCUGUGCUUGGUGCUUUGCCGUGGUAGGGACAUUUUGAAAUUCUCAAGAAAUGCAGAAUCAGAUCUGCUAUCCCUGCAUGGAGUCUUAAUAAAUAACAAGAUAAAUCUUGCUUACUGGUAGUGUUUUUGAUAGCUGUGUGCUGUGACAGCUCACUUUCAAGAUAACCUGCUUCUUCAGCUAUUCCUUGAACCUGCUUCUCUUUAAAUCCCUUUCUUAAGCUUGUGGUGUUAGUUUAUCUUUUGAUCUGCAUCAAAAAUGUUCUUAAACAUCUAGUGUCUGCUGUGAAAGAGGGCCUUGGCGUUCCUUGUGCUUCACAUUCAUGCCACAGACCACCAGUCCCAGCCCUCUCAAGCUCAUGAAUGGAGGCUGAUGGACAGAAGAGAGGGACAGGCACAUGCAGCAAACAGAUAUGUCAGGUUGGUCAGAAGGUUCAGCAGUGCCCAGGCUGUUGUACAGUUCUUUGAUGUGGUAUGGAAAAAAAAAUAUUUUUGAGGAGUUCCAACCUCUCUCCAAUGAGAGGUGAGUCAGCCUAUUGAAAUUAGUAUCGGCUGUCUCCCAGUUUUACAUAUUCUUAAUGCACAAGGUUUGUCUUUGGUUUCCCUGUCUAAACCACUUCCCAUUUUUGUCACAUUACAAACAGGAAGGGUGUCUGGCAUUUAUUUUGUGGGAUGUCUGCAGUUCCUUGCAAGAGGAAGGACUUACAAGCUGGUUCAGAGCUUUGAGGGCCCAACAGGAUUUUGAGAUCCACUCAUAAUAGAUCAUAAUAUUUUGUCAGGAAAAACUUCAGUCAUUUACACAAGAAAUUAUCAACAGAUGAACUGUCCUGUCCCUUCUACCUCUUGUGACACAUAAACCCACCUGCAUGUGAACCAUCCCUGUGCAAAUGGAGAGGCUUUGCAGGGCUCUCAUCGGAGAAACCAGAAACCUUUCACAAACGCCAGCAAAGGAACAGCUGCAGUUCCCCUGCUGCCUGUUCCGUAUGUACGAGCCAUGGAGACUGAAGGGCCAGCCGUGCCAUGAUGGAAGGACACCAGCAGCUCUCAUUACUUUCCAUGCAGGGUUAUGGAUGCUCAAAACCUCCCCUGUGUGAUUUGGUCAAAGUUGCUUGCCUCCUGGCAGGGUAGGGAGAUGGAUGCAGACCUUGUUGUUGCCAAACUUUUCCUCCUUCUGUACUCGAGCGCACUUUGCCUGGUCAUUGUUCCCUGUGGCUUCUCUGCUAGGCUCCAAAUGCUUCCCACUGCACGAUGAUCUAUCUCACUGCUUAUCUGUAAUUCUCUGAAAAGACACUUCAUGUUUGGUUGGUAUGGUUCCCAGUUCCCCAUAAGGCCGUUUUCCUCAGUAGUAUAGGUGGAAGCAAGACUUUCUUGUUCCUAAAUGCUUUGCAUAUUUUAUUUUAUUGGUUCCCCCCCCUGUUUUUUUCCAAAACAUACUCUGAAGCUGAAGCCAGUAUGGGUUUGAUGUAUCUGUGUCUCAGCUGACUCCCCCUCUCUUCAUCUCUUUUUGACUCCACUUGCAACUGAGCAUACUUUCCAUUGCCUCUGUAGCUAGCAAAAGGAGUCUUUGAAAUGUGACAAGCAAAAGAGCUCAGACAAAGAACAGAUGCUUUAUGUAAGGCUACAUAAGCUGCAAAGAGCUAUUUCUGUGGUGAUGCAGCUGGCAGAUUUCUCAGCUGGACAGUUCCUGUGAGUAGCUAUCAGUUUUGUUCUUCUUUGCUUUAAGAAUUUAAAUUUAAGAAAUUUCAUUUGUUGCUCUGAGACUAAAAUGCAAAAAAAAUUGGAAAAAGGAAAAAAAGACAUUUUAAAAGAAAACUGUUCCACUUUGUAACCUCAUAUCUGCUUCAGCAGCAUGAAUAAAUUGAGGCCAGACAGGACCAGGCAGAGCUUCAGGAAGGCGUGACUGUGGCUGCCUCAUGGCUGGCAGCUAACUGUUACUAAAAUCUGAGUGCAAAGAGUGUUUUCUUCACUUCCUUUUUUGAUGUAAUUUUUUUUUUUCAGUUUGGAUUCGUGAGAUGUGGAGUGCUGCAGCAUUUCUGGACUGUGAGGAUGGUUGUCAAGUGUUGUUAAACACAGGGAGUCCUUAGAGGAAGAGAGUUGGAAGUAGCUAGAAAUAGGUCUUUGCCUCUGCAGAUUUAUUGAAAUGUCACUAGCGUACACCUUGAAACCUCAGUUAGGAAAUCCACAACAGUCACUUUGUCUCAGCAAAGAUCUGAGAACCUGGAUCUGGAGAUCUGGAAAAUCAUCAUCAGAAGAGAGAAGCUUUUGCCUGGUACCUCCAGUCCUUCCUUCACCUUAAAGCUGGGAACAGUGAGAUUGCUCUUGUAUCUACUCUUCCUAAUGAAUGUCCUUUUGUGUUUAACUGCAUUGACAGAACUGGGAACAGAGUUUGCUGUCAUUCUGGGUGGAUCAGAGAACACCAAGCCAGAUGAUUUCCAAAAUGCCAAGACCUCUGCCCUCGACCUGAUGAAGUCAAUGUGGCAGAAAUGCUCAAAGGUGUGUCGUAAUCUGAUAGGCAGGAUGGAUCAGAGCUCUAAUGAAGAACGGAGAGUCUCCUGGUUCACAUAAUUACUGUUUUUUUAAACUUCACAGUGAUGCUGAUCACGUUUGCUGUGGUGCAGUAUGGAGCACGGAUCCAAACUGAGCUGAGCCUGCAAGAAAGCUGCAACAGACCAACUGGUUUCUUCAAAGUCCGAAACAUCAAGCAGCAGAGCUCUCGGACUGACAUCACAGCCACACUGCACGUGUAUUGGAUAAAGUCUUUGAAAGCCAUGACUCCAGCCAGUCUGAUGACAAUCAUUGUCAAGGCAUCUGCGCAAGUGUUUCUGGAAAACCAGAUGGAGAAAUGUGAUGAAUUCCCUGGAAAUGCCUAUGGUUGAACUCUGAGCACCUGGGACUGGAGGGUUCAUAAGCAACCAGUGGGUCCCAGAAGAGCUGCAGAAGGUUAGAAGUGACUAGUUUGCACUGUUCACAUAUGAAGAUUUUGACAGUUUGGCCAAAAGUCUUACCAGGUAAUAUGAGGUGCUGUGGACUGUUUGGAUCAAAAUAAUCCUUCUCCCAUUACUUCCGUGUUCCAGAAGCCCUGUAACAGAUCACUUUUUGUUUUCUAAACAUAGUGUUUUCUUCAGUUUUGUGAAGAGUUGUAAACCUUCCAGCCUGCAGACAUAAUAACUAAAAAGAAAAAAGUAUGUAUGUUGGAUAAUCACUCAGGAGCUGUGACAAAUGCUAAGAAAAGUCAUCGAGAGUUCAAGCGUAUUUUUCAGAGCAGUAAUUUAUUCAGUUACCCUACAAGCUGCUAAGAGAAGAGAACCCCAGAUUUGCUGGCUUUUCUCAGAAAAGUUACCUGCUAUUUCCUAAUCAAUAUUUUUAGGAGAUGCUCUGUAAUCAAAACCAUGGGCCACAAUAACUAGACAUGGUGUAAACUCUUGGAUCUCGCUGAAUAUGUAAGUCUGUGUCUCAGACCACACCCUGCGGGCUUUUUCCUUCAGGCAUAGAGUAUGGUACUGAUAGUAUAUGCUGUUUUUGCCUCUUGUGUGGAUGCACCAGGGUAGUGUGGCAGUGGUACACACAGAAUAUGGACCCUUGUACGUGGCUGGAGCUCCGCAGCAUCAUGAGAGGGAAGGUGUUGGCGUUUCAGGACGGCUGUUUAAAACAAACCCUGCAAGGAGAACAGGUUGGAUCUUAUUAUGGAUCUGAGCUCUGCCCAUUUGAUGUGAACCAUGAUGGGGUAACAGAUCUGCUCCUUGCCAGAGCUCCAUUUUAUCACAUUUGAGGGGAAGAAGGAAGGGUUUACGUCUAUCGCCUGGAGACAGAAAGAGUAAAAGCCUCUGAAAUUUCUUCAGGACACCAGUAUUUUGGACAAUCCAUUGAUGAUGGCUUUGAUUUGACUAACGAUCGUCUCCAAGAUAUUACAGUAAGAUCACUGGAGAACAUGAUCAUGCUCUGAAAGGAACUGGUGGUGGGCCACACUGAAGAAGUGACCAUGAGUGUUUCACUGAUGAACAGUGGAGAUGACACAUACGUGACAACUAUGGUCUUGAACUAUCCUAAAGCCCUACAUUUUAAGGUGACCAGUGAGCAUAAAUAAAAAUACCGCCAUUCUGACUGAAGAACACAUCCUUGAUGUCAGAGAUGCAUUCACUGCAGUCCUUACCAAAUGCAUGAAGAAAAUUGCUUUAAUGCUACCAUCAAGUUACAGAUUUGGAUUCCUAUCAGUAUCCAAGGUCACAACAUGAGAACAGUCAAAAAUGCAUCAGGAACACAGUUGCUUUCAAAUCCUGAUUUGGUCACAAAUGAAAACUUGUCUCACAGACCUCAUUGCCUACUCAGACAGACUCCUCCUUUAUCAGGAGAUGCUUGCCCAAGCAAGCAUGGUUCACCACACCUGGAGCAAGGGCAGAGCAGAACAGCGAGCUACGGUGCUGCCAUCCUCCCUGCUCGAUGUGUACCACAAAGUAGGGUGAGUUGUGAACAAUCUCAGUUUAUCAGCUGCAGAUUAUCAGGAACUACAAUUUACAGGAUCAGGGGAAAGAAGGUGCCUAGCCAGAGCCUGUGGCUGGCUUUAGCCAGUACCAGGUGUUUUCUUUCCUGAGCAAUGAAAUGGUCUCAGGCCCCCCCCAGGUGUCUGCUGUUUCCAAAGGAGGAGAAGUACAGAGAGUUGGUACUAAUCCUCUCUUUGGCUUUCUCUAUCCCUAAUUGUGUAGAUUUUUUAUUUCUGCUCUGUUUGGUUAACCAUAAACUCCACAAAUCAAAUACAUCUUUACACACAGCAGUAGGUAAAACAAAGAUAUUUUUCAGUCAGACCUUAAGAAGACAAAGCAGUUCCUGUCUCCUUUGGCUUAACCAGUAUUGCCUGAUGGAAAACUAAAGUUAACAGACAAACCGUGGCCUUUAUGGAAGUUUCCUUGUAAAAUUUCUGCCUGGUACCCAGGUAGCGGUAAUGCAUCUUUUCAGGGCUGUUACAGAGAUCACCUCCUGCUGGGCUGGGCACCCUGCAGGCUGUGCAAGCCUGGGUGUGUCCUAGCUCUAAAUUUGGCUGCCGGACAGCCAGAAGUUAAAGGUGCUAGGCACACUGGGCAGCCUGCCUAGGGCAAAAGUAAGAGGUGCUACGGUGCGACAUUGUUUUGAGUAAUAUAGGGCCCUUGUGUGACUCUCAGCAGUGUGAGAGAGAGAGAUGCAGAGAUCCCACACUGGCAUCCAGUUGUCAGUAGCUGCAGCCAUUCUGGCUCGAAUUUCUUUCUCCGUUCUCAACUGGUUGUAGGAUUCCUUGGAGCUACAGAGAGCAAGUCACUCCAAAUCUGCUUACAAGUGCCAGGGGUUGAGGAAAUGAGACUUUGCAGAUGAGAGCUCAGAAAGGGUAUUCCUGCCUGAACCAGGUCUUUUGUCAUGACAACUCUGUACUAUUUGGUUGGGAAAAAAAUGUGCUUUUUCUGAUCUGAAUCACUUUACUGUCACCCCCCUUUGUGUAAAUCCUCUUUUUUUU